UACGUAUGGGGCGAGCGUUGUUCGGAGUUAUUGGGCGUAAAGGGCGUGUAGGCGGCUCAUGAAGUCUGGUGUGAAAACGCAAGGCUUAACCUUGCGGAGGCGCUGGAAACUGGUGGGCUUGAGUUCCUGAGGGGAAGCUGGAAUUCCAGGUGUAGGGGUGAAAUCUGUAGAUAUCUGGAAGAACACCGGUGGCGAAGGCGAGCUUCUAUCAGAGGACUGACGCUGAGGCGCGAAAGCGUGGGGGG
rnacentral:rRNA from 1 species